CCUUCGAUCCUUUGCAACUUCUUCCUCAACUCUAAUCGGCACCUCCUCAAUCCAAUAAGCGAGCACCGAAAACUCUCUUCCCUCUUCCGUCAUUGCAUGUGCCAUCCGAUUUGCCAAUCUAGGUGCAAAUCUAACUAUAAUUUCCGCAAACUUCCUUUAACUCUCUUUAAUCUCCUUUAUUAUUAGAGCAGCAACAUUAGAUCUAUCCUCCUCUAAUUCCUGGGCUUUCUUUACGGUUGUUAGUGAAUCUCCCUCCACCACCAAUUUCUAGAAGCCUAACUCUUCAGCCAUCACUAAAGCUUGAAGACAGGCUUGUGCCUCCGCCGUCAUUGGAUCUGCCACAUAUUCAUUAGGGUACACAUAUGCUG
rnacentral:lncRNA from 1 species